AUGGAUGCGCUCAUUGACUGGGAUUUCUCGUAUGGCCAGAAGGUGGCCGAUCAGGUGCGUCGUCGGUUUCACUCUUCGGUCCACUUUGAUGGAUCUAACUCCUCUUCGGAGUUAUUUUUGGUGGUUCUUUUCCAUUCGAGUUCUUUUCUCUUGGAUGUGGAUUCUGUCUCCAUGGCGCUCUGCUCCUGCUUGGGAGGCAAUCUCAAGAGGUUCAACGUGUUUAUGCUCUCGGAUAAUCUUUUCCGUUUCUCGGUUGCUUCCAACCGGGUGGGUCAUUUCAUUUGUGCUUUGAAGGGUUGCCGCAUGCCAGCGUUUCACUGUUCGUUCAAUCUCUUUCACGGCAAGCCCUUUGUUCUGGAUCGUCGGGUGCCCAAGGUUGGUUCGGAAUGGAUGAUGCAUACCAAUCGGAAGCGUUCGCUUCAACGUUAUCUUCAUAACAUUCCGCCAGAUCUAUUAAAUUCUACGCAUGGCCAUCAACGUAAACCCCUGGGUAUUAAGGCUCAUCUUGCAAAACGUGGUGCCUAUAGUGCACAGGCUUCUAAAUGGAUUGCAGCAUUCAAUGGUGGGGGUCAGGAAGAUUCUAUUGGCCCUGUAGUUCAUAAUUGUAAUCUUAUUACGGUGGAUGAUUCCUUGGCUGCUUCUCAUUUGGAUUAUCCAUUCAAAUUUGGGAAGUUUACGUUUUGCCUUGAAUCGUGA
rnacentral:rRNA from 1 species